UUUUGUUUUCGAAUUUAAUGGUGAUUACUAAAAAUAGAUUUAUUUGUUUUAUGUGCUUUGAAAAUGGAAAGCAUCCACUGUUGCUGAAUUUAAUAUAAGUUUGUCGGAAGCCGAUACAAGAAGCACCAACAAUCGAUGCGCGUUAUUCCUGCAUGAACCAUCGACCUCUUUCCGGUGGAAAAUUCACCAUUUAUCAGUUCCUGAUGUAUCAUCUUUCAAAGCUGUGAGCAAAGGAUCACGGAAGCAACGAUUGGCUUGAAGGGACUGUUAUGGAAAUAACAGCUUUUUAUGUGGAAAAACUGCCGUUGAUAGUGAUUUAUUUAAGAUAAAUACUCCUUCAGCUGAAAAUAGAAGAUUCAGAGAAGAAAUGUGUAACGAGAGAAAACAAGAUUUUCGCGUGUCUGCAUAUAUUUAUAUAUUUAUGUACCAUAUAUGUUUAGAUACGGUACUGCACAGAGAAAAUUUUUAUAUGUUUUCUUGCACAAUACUAACGGUGUAGUAGCAAAAUUAGACAAUUAAUAUAAUAUAGCAAUGAUCGCAUGAACAAAUGUGUAUAGGGUAUACAUCCUUUUCGGGUAGAUGUUCUAUUUUC